AGAGUUUGAUCCUGGCUCAGAGCGAACGCUGGCGGCAGGCCUAAUACAUGCAAGUCGAACGCACCUUCGGGUGAGUGGCGGACGGGUGAGUAACACGUGGGAACGUGCCCUUUGGUUCGGAAUAAGCCGGGGAAACCUGGUCUAAUACCGGAUGAGCCCUACGGGGGAAAGAUUUAUCGCCAAAGGAGCGGCCCGCGUCUGAUUAGCUAGUUGGUGGGGUAAUGGCCCACCAAGGCGACGAUCAGUAGCUGGUCUGAGAGGAUGAUCAGCCACACUGGGACUGAGACACGGCCCAGACUCCUACGGGAGGCAGCAGUAGGGAAUCUUGCGCAAUGGGCGAAAGCCUGACGCAGCCAUGCCGCGUGAAUGAUGAAGGUCUUAGGAUUGUAAAAUUCUUUCAGCGGGGAAGAUAAUGACGGUACCCGCAGAAGAAGCUCCGGCUAACUUCGUGCCAGCAGCCGCGGUAAUACGAAGGGGGCUAGCGUUGCUCGGAAUUACUGGGCGUAAAGGGCGCGUAGGCGGGCGUUUAAGUCAGAGGUCAAAUCCCAGGGCUCAACCCUGGAACUGCCUUUGAUACUGGACGCCUUGAGUACGGGAGAGGUGAGUGGAACUCCGAGUGUAGAGGUGAAAUUCGUAGAUAUUCGGAAGAACACCAGUGGCGAAGGCGACUCACUGGCCCGUUACUGACGCUGAGGCGCGAAAGCGUGGGGAGCAAACAGGAUUAGAUACCCCCGUAGUCC
rnacentral:rRNA from 1 species